UAGUGUAGUGGUUAGCACGUCUGCUUUAUACGCAGAAGGUCCUGGGUUUGCACCCCGG
rnacentral:tRNA from 1 species